rnacentral:lncRNA from 1 species
GGAAGCUGCUGCUCUGGUGGCUACAAAUACCAAUUGGACCCUUGAGUACAAAGGCACUUUCCCCUUGAUCAGUUGUGUGUUGUAACAGUGCUUUCAUUUUUGAAGGAUACCCUCAGAACUUGUCCUGGGUUGUUGUAGGGCACUGGUUUUUUAGUUAGCAAGGGUUUUGUGUCCUGAUUGGGAGAGAGAGAGAAAAAAAUGUGAAGGUAAAAACUAAACUGAUUUAUAGAGGACUAUAAUUCAGACAACAUGACUUGUUAGCCUGCUUAUUAAUAUACCUCAGGAUUUGGCAACUGGUCUUCAGACUUACUUUAAAUGAAAAGCAAUUGAUUUUAUUUUGUUGUUUUAUUUUCCUUGAAUACACUUCUGGUGGUAUGACUCUCCAGAUUACCCGAGUUGAAUAGAGAAAUGGAAAAAGAAAUGCGUUACUGACCUUUAAUGUAGCAGGGUGUCAUUAAGUAAUUGAAGGUUCAUUUCCCAUGGCUUAUUUCAUUAACUAAUUUCCCAAGAAAUAUUCUUUCACCUCUGACCAUAUUAGCCAACUAUGUGCAGUUAACACAAACCUGAAGAAGCCAUACAAAUUAGACCCACUGGUCUCCAAAGCACCUAAGUUUGCUUUUCCAAUGUUGUAAUGAAGUACCUUUCAUCCCCUUUUAUAGGACUCUUGUUAUAGGCUAUUGCAGUAAUUUAAAACCUAUGUACCUAGACUCCUGACCUUGUUAUAACAUCACUUUAUAAUUCUCAAAAUACUUGGCUCUUGAAGAUUUUCUUAGCACCAGCCAUGUAUUCUUAAAGAGCCCAGACAAUUUGUCUUCAGUGUUAUAUUAUCCAUAUCUCCUCAGCUGUUAAGAUCUAGCAUUACUAUUGAGUUGCCUGCGGGGGGGUGGGGGACCCUCCAGCUCUUUGAUUAUUUCACUGCUCAACAUGGCAUUCAGUUAUUAGCGUUCUCCACUUAAAAACCUUUUCUUGGAAGAAUGGCAAUAUACAACUUCAUCAAGCUUCAGAUAUAGAAGUGGCUCUCUUGCUGGGUUCAUUGUUAGUUCAUUAAGAUUGCUGGUGAUGCUGUGGACAAUAAUGGCUUUCCAUAUGUAACUCUAGCAUAGAGAUUAUCAUGGAAGAA